rnacentral:rRNA from 1 species
AGUGAGAAUGUUGGCAUGAGUAGCGAGAUGUGGGUGAGAAUCCCACAGGCCGUAAACCCAAGGUUUCCAGGGGAAGGUUCGUCCGCCCUGGGUUAGUCGGGACCUAAGCUGAGGCCGAAAGGCGUAGGUGAUGGACAACAGGUUGAUAUUCCUGUACUACCGAUAACCGUUUGAGAGAUGGGAUGACACAGUAGGAUAAGCUAAGCACACUGUUGGUUAUGUGUGCCCAAGCAUUGAGGCAGUCAGAGUAGGUAAAUCCGCUUUGACAAUGCUGGGAUGUGAUGGGGAGCGAAAUUUAGUAGCGAAGUAGCUGAUUUCACACUGUCAAGAAAAGUCUCUAUCGAGGUUAAAGGUACCCGUACCGCAAACCGACACAGGUGGGUGAGGAGAGUAUCCUAAGGCCCGCGAGAGAACUGUUGUUAAGGAACUCGGCAAAAUGACCCCGUAACUUAGGGAUAAGGGGUGCCACCAUACGGUGGCCGCAGAGAAUAGGCCCAAGCGACUGUUUACCAAAAACAUAGGUUUCUGCUAAGUCGCAAGACGAUGUAUAG